AGCAGCCGCGGUAAUUCCAGCUCCAAUAGCGUAUAUUAAAGUUGUUGCAGUUAAAAAGCUCGUAGUUGAAUUUCGAGACCGGCUUACUGGUCGUGCUUUUGUACGUACUGGUAUAAUCGGUUUCUCCUUUCUGACGAACUAUAAUGCCAUUAAUUUGGUGUUAUAGGGAAUCAGGACUGUUACUUUGAAAAAUUAGAGUGUUUAAAGCAGGCUCACGCUUGAAUACAUUAGCAUGGAAUAACGGAAUAGGACGUUUGAUUCUAUUUUGUUGGUUUCUAGGAUCGACGUAAUGAUUAAUAGGGAUAGUUGGGGGCAUUAGUAUUCAAUUGUCAGAGGUGAAAUUCUUGGAUUUAUUGAAGACUAACUACUGCGAAAGCAUUUGCCAAGGAUGUUUUCAUUAAUCAAGAACGAAAGUUAGGGGAUCGAAGACGAUCAGAUACCGUCGUAGUCUUAACCAUAAACUAUGCCGACUAGGGAUCGGAUGAUGUUAAUUUUUAAUGACUCAUUCGGCGCCUUACGG
rnacentral:rRNA from 1 species